AGCCGGGUUUCCGGUCCAAACCGGGCAGCGACGCGUUUCUCUGAUUCCAUCUGGUUCCAGGAGAUGAUCCUGAAUUUAACUAUUAUAGCAGCAGCAAAAAAAAAAUAAAAAAUCAGCACAGCAGCAGACGGCGGCCUGGCUUUUGUUGUCCCUCCGCUCCCCCUUCCGCAGCCUUUGCGAGCUCGCCUCUGGUUUCAUACAGGCGUGUGAGAAGAAAAUGCCGAGACGUAUAGCAUUCGGCUGAUAGUAGCUUGUAGAGUCUUCAAAAGAAGACAGAUGGACAAGUGAAGCUGUGCCAGUCCCAGCAGUUGUCUUCAUGCACAUCAGCAUUUAAACUGGAAGACCUUC
ensembl:lncRNA zinc finger protein 239-like